UGAACUAUUAGCAGAGACACGAUGUGUGCUGAAUCCUAGAAAAGUUAUAAAAAGAAGAUAAGAAUGUAGAUCAUCAAAGAUGAUGAACGUAUUGAGUAAGACAUCUCCGUAUGUCAUGAAGCCAUAGAACGAUAAUGAAAGUAUCCGCUUAAACUUAGGUUAAGAGAAUACGAACCCUAAGAAGCAAAGUUAAGUAAACCAAUGCGUAAAGUCAAGUAUAUGACUAAUUGGUGUAUGUGUUAUUUCCUUAUGUGCUACAUAGGAAUUGGAAUGAGCAGUUCAGCGUAAACUAUAAGCUGUAGGCGUGCGUAAGGCAAGUUUCCUAACUUCAUUCAUAUUUUAAAUGAAUGCUAGUUUCUAAAACUUCUUAGAUGUUGAACUUGAGAAGUUCUGUUUAUGUGCGAAUGUGUAAUAUUUGUACAAGGUGGUAGAACGUAUGAGGCCUUGUGCCACAAUGUGAAUACUUCGAUGUUUCUAUGAGAUAAAAAGUUCUGUGAUUGAACUGUUCAAUAUGAGCAUGUUCUGUUUAUACAUGUACCGUUAUUGUUAAGUCUGUGCUAUAGAUUCUAGCCAAACAGAAUGUGUAUAAAAGAGAGUAGAGAAUGAAAGUAUUUCAAAG
rnacentral:lncRNA from 1 species